rnacentral:lncRNA from 1 species
GACCAGGCUCAGGACUGGGCAGAGUACUGCCUUCGGGCACGUACCCAGAGCUCGGACUUUGCGCUUGGUGGUACGGGGUUUCAUGUGGAGAGAUCUCAGAAUUCCUUCUUCCACAAUUGGCAGGUGGAGCGCAACUCUUUCUGGAGCCUCAAUCCGGGACCGGAACACAGCACGCCCUGCGAAGUCGCUGAGGGACCUGAACCUACAGCCGAGACCUUUGAAUCUCCGUCAGCCCCGACUCCAACCAAGUUCCCGCAGCCUUGCGGGAGAAAGAGACCGCGGAAGGAGAGCCCCAAGGGGCGGGCGAAAGACAGCACAGAGGCGGCAGAGAGGGCGGAGGAGCGCCUCCCCUCGCUCCGCCCCGGCCAAUCGCCGUGCGCUCCGAGCCUCGGCCCCGCCCCUCGCCGCCUCCUGCGGCCCGCGGGCCCGCCCGGGCCGGUAAUAAUUAGGCUGCGGGCGGGGGAUGCCGCGUCAGCGCGGGGCGCCGGCCAAUCCCCGAGCUCUUCCCCGCGGUCGCGUCACAGGCCGAACAACCAAACAGAAAAGUUUAAUAAACAGCGGACGGAGGGGCUGGCGGCGGCGGGGCCGGAGCGAGCAGGGGUUCGGUGGCCUCACCUGUGCCCCUUUCACCGGCGGCGACCGGCGGCGGCGGGCAGCGCGUCAGGCGGAGAGGGCCGCCGCCAGGUGAGGAGUCCGGCUGUUGGGGCCGGGGCGGCCCAGCGCCGCCCCUCCCCCUCCGCUCCCUUCCCCCACCCGGCUGAGGCGAGGCCCGCCCCCGGCCCCUCCCGGCGCCGCGAGCCGGAAGCGGAGGGCGGCCGGCCGCCCGGCAGGCGCAGCAGGUGGGAGGCCGGCUGCCUGUCGCCGGCUCGCCCGCCCAGGCCCAGCGUUUGCUGGGUGCCGAGGGGCGAAAGGGUCCCGGCCUGGCCCUUCCUACGCGCGCCGGGCGCCCGCGGCCCCGGGCCGGCUUCCCGCGGGGAGUGUCGCACCGGGGUCGGGACCCUCUUCCCCUCAGGCGCGGGGGACGCCGCGCUGGCCGCAUUCUGA